UUUUUAUUUCCUUGUAGCGGUCUUCUGUUAGGGUGUUCUGUCAUUUGUUUGGUUAGUCUCCCCCGAGGGACACAUAUUACACACUGAACUUGAACUUUUCCAUUUAUGGGGUGUUUUCUGAUCAGGUGUCAGUUUCUUGUCUCCAUGACACAGUAUGGAGAUGCUGCCUGGACCAUGGUUUGCGGGUGGAGGCCUGGCAGAGGGCAGUGGGUUCACUUGUGCUGGCUGGUUAUCCUGGGUUGUUGGUUUUUUGGAGAUGGUUGAGGAAGCAGAUGAGUGAUGUCUUCAUUUUGCUCCGUGUUGCUUCUUUUUGUGGUAUCGGAUGUCGCUGUGAUGGGCUUGCUUUGGUUCCGAUAGCCACCAAAAAUGUGAUUGAUUUAACUAGGAAAAAAACUGUUAAUCCCAUUGUCAACUGGAAUGUAGAAGAGGUGGACUUUCGUGUCACUGGUUUCUUUGCUAUUCUGUAUGUCUGGAAUCAUUCUAACAAUGUGAUAAGCUAUGAAAACUACUUUUCAUACUCUGUGAUGGUAAGAACAAAUCAUACAAGUUUCAAUGGCUGUAAUACAGUGUUGGUUGGUAGGGAGUGGUCAGUGUGGGUUGCUGAGAAGGUUCUGGCAUUUGUUCUAUAGGAGACUGAAAAUGAGCAAUGGCGAGGGACACAAACAGGAACAUGCUUAUGACAACUUUAUUAGGGGAGAAAAAUUGAAAUGCAAAGGAUGCAGAUGGCUUACUUUGUGGCUUCUAAAUUUUUUACUUUAAGUUGCUCAGAUUAAUUUUUGAAAAAUUGGCCGAAUACUGAUUUUCAUCCAUUGUCCUUCUGUGAUGAAGAGUUCAAGGUUUUCGAGCAGUAGCAACACAAGGCAGUAGCUCCCUGAUUGCCCAGUGACCAGCUCAGUCAUACCUGGAGAAAUGUUAGAAGCUUCCCGGGGCUGGGGUUGUAGCUCAGUGGUGGAACCCUUGCCUGGGUCCUUUGAGGUUUUGAGGUUGGUUUUCAGCAUUUUAUAGUUGGAUGGACUUUUGAAUGAAUAAAUAAAUAGAGGUAUUGAGUUUAUCUCCAUUUUAUAGAGCUAUGGUAAUCGAACAGGAGGAGGAGGAGGAACAGCUGCUGCUUUCCAGGUCCCCGAGUCCUGGCCUUGAAGGAGAGUAUUAUGUAUUUCAUAGAAUCUCAGACACCAGGGCUUAGAAGACACACCUAUAUUUUGCGAACCACUAAGAAAAAUGUUCCAAUUAGAACUAUGAAAAUGCUUAUCAUUUGUACUUUUUUUUUUGUGUGUGUGUGUGUAGUUGUAGGUGGACAGCAUGCCUUUAUUUGUGUAUUUUUGUAUGUGGUGCUAAGGAUCGAACCCAGUGCCUCCCACGUGUAAGGCAAGUGCUCUGCCACUGAGCUAUAGCCCCAGCCCUGUACUUCUUUUUUAAAGAUUUUUUUUUUGGUAGUGGUAGAUGGACAGAAUGCCUUUAUUUUAAUGUGGUGCUAAGGAUCGAACCCAGUGCCUCACACAUGCCAGGAGAGUGUGCUAUCGCUGAGCCCCAGCCCCAGCCCACCAUUUAUACUUCUUAUAAAUUUAUUAGCUUUUAAACUUCUUCAGAUUUCUAUCUUAUCACACUUAAUUCAUAUACAAAAAGAAAAAGGCGAGAUUCAUAAAAUAUCACCUUCUGAGUCCAACAUUCUGAACUACUUUAUUUUUUUGAACUACUAUUUGACCCGUUGUUUUCAUUACUUGUUUCCCCAAGCAGUGCUGCCCUGUGUGUUGUGCUGAGUGUUGGUGAUAUAGCAUUCUGAAAAGUGUGUUCCACUGUUGGCUCCAGAAUUUUCCUCUAAGCUACUGAUAAGCAUUCUGCAAGUUUUGGUGCUGGGCUAUAUUGAUGUUACCAGAAGUCAGGUGAUAGCCACAUUCCAACUGCCACCUGCUGACAGUGAUUGUGAGAUGCAUGAGAUCCGGGGUAUUUUAUAAUCUGCACAGUACAAUAUGAUGGAGCAGGCAGCACCCUGCUUGAUUUCCCCCAGACCCAGUGUCACAUUAAAUCUUAAAUAAGGCUUCAUGACAUCCAGUCAGUUGGAAUGGAGCCCAUGAUUGGGCUACUUUGAAAAACUGAACAGAUCCCACUGUUGUCAUGAAUUCGAGCUGACUUUGUUGUUUGUGUGGGAGUUGGGGGACAUGCUUCCUCUUUUUGCCUAUGGUAC
rnacentral:lncRNA from 1 species